CGUGUAGGCGGUUUGUUAAGUCUGUUGUGAAAGCCCUGGGCUCAACCCAGGAAGUGCACUGGAUACUGGCAGACUUGAAUACGGGAGAGGGUAGUGGAAUUCCUAGUGUAGGAGUGAAAUCCGUAGAUAUUAGGAGGAACACCGGUGGCGAAGGCGGCUACCUGGACCGAUAUUGACGCCGAGACGCGAAAGCGUGGGUAGCAAACAGGAUUAGAUACCCUGGUAGUCCACGCCGUAAACGAUGAGAACUAGGUGUUGCGGGUAUUGACCCCUGCAGUGCCGCAGCUAACGCAUUAAGUUCUCCGCCUGGGAAGUACGGUCGCAAGACUAAA
rnacentral:rRNA from 1 species